UCAGCUAUUCGUGGCUGAGGUAGUUGGUUGUAUCGGUUCCCUUGUGAAAUGUUAACUAUACAGCCCGCUAACUUAACCAUUGGUUGCUAACUAUCCAC
rnacentral:pre_miRNA from 1 species